rnacentral:hammerhead_ribozyme from 1 species
AUCCAGCUGACGAGUUCUAAAUAGGACGGAACGCACGUCUUGAAC